UACGGAGGGUGCAAGUGUUAUUCGGAAUCACUGGGCGUAAAGAGCACGUAGGCGGAUAGGCAAGUCAGAUGUGAAAUCCCGGAGCUCAACUCCGGAACUGCAUUUGAUACUGCCUGUCUUGAGUGAGGUAGAGGGGAGUGGAAUUCCCUGUGUAGAGGUGAAAUUCGUAGAUAUCGGGAGGAACACCAGAGGCGAAGGCGACUCCCGUGGGCCUCUACUGACGCUGAGGUGCGAAAGCGUGGGGAGCAAACAGGAUUAGAUA
rnacentral:rRNA from 1 species